rnacentral:lncRNA from 1 species
CCUUGACAGCACAUCCACCUCAGUUGGAAGCUUGUUAGAAAUGCAAAUUAUGGCCAGGCCAAGUGAAUCAAACUUUGGGGCUGGAGCUCCACAGGUGGUGAGACACCCACUAAGAACUCAAAUCGCUGCUAUUAUCUAGCCUGUUCUGCCACCUAGUGGAAUUUGGGGGAGUAGCAUCUGGUAAUGAGUUGGAGCAAGAUUCUGUUGCUGCUGAAUACCAAGGACUUUCUUGCAAUUAAGGUUACAGCCCCUUCAGAAUGUGUUCUAGUACUACACCCACCUGGUUUAUUUCCAGUUAUCGUAGGGCAUGUCACAUCCAGACAUCACCAAGCAGUCUGAGUAAAACCAGUUCUUGCUGUUUUAGAAAUGCCUUUAAUUUUAUGUUGGAAUUAUACAUUGGAAUAAUACACUAUUAAAUAAUGCUAGUGAAGGAUAACCACAUAGGGAAAUCCAAAAACAUAAGUGGAAAAGUAUUACAAAUAGCAUACAGAUGAUUCAGAUUAAAUGGUAUAAAACAUGCAUAAAAACAAAACGAAGUACCUCAUUAAGGUCAUAGUUGCUAUCUCUCAAGAAUGAGACAGUUAAAGAUUUUUCUAUAUGGUCUUUUUUUUUUUAAGUUUCCUAUAGUGAGAAUGAGUUAUUUUAAAGAAUAAAAAUUAUUUUAGUAUCAAAUCCUUCUCUCAAGAAAUACUUAUUAGGUCCCUACUCUACCCAGGUAUUAUGCUAGGGCCUAAAGAUUUGAAGAUGAAAUUGUGUGUGAUCUUUGCCUCAGGGAGCUCCUGGUUUCCAGGGUGGAACACACACGCACAAGACCCAGGGAGUAAAAUCAAGGCGGCACAAGGAAGAGAGCAAUCCUGCUCAGCUGUGAUAACCAACGCUUCACCUCCACGAGGCUCCUAAGCCCUUGAGACAACCUGGGUCCGUGAUUCUCAUCACUGUCAGCCCAGCUGUGAAACCCCUCCUAAGACCUAAAGAGUGGAACCUCCAAAGCCUGGGGAUCUGCAACUUCAUAUCCCUUUCAUCACCUGGGAGAAGAACCCUCCUUCCUCUGAUAACAAGACUGAGCGAUAAGAGAGGUGAGUGACUUGUUAAUGUUAUGCAGCAAGGACAAGAAUCAAAUGCAAGCCUCAUUCCAGAGAAGAUGAGUAAACAACCUAGAGAGAUUGGGAAAUUUGCCUGAACUCACACAACCAAGACAUGAAGAAACAGGGGUCUCUUGCAGGUCCAAGAGUCUGGUCUCUCUGGAGAUCCCAAGACAUGAGGAGGAAGAUCCAAUGCUGCACCCCACAUGAACACUUCAUACUCUGGAACAUUGGAAUCAAAACUGAUGGCUUAAAAUGGAGAUUGGAGAGACAUGUAGAAAAGCCCAGGGGUUUUGGCUCAGAAAAAAACUCAAAGUGGGCUCCACCAAGAUGUCACCCGUCUCUGCAUCUUCUGGCUGUAUCCUCAGGAGUAAAAGUUCUAGAAUGCUUUUACUACUCAGACUCCCUGGAGGUUAGAAUAGAUGGAAAUGGACUUGAUUCAAGGGAUUUGAGACCAGUGUCCUGGCAGGGAAAGGAAAGAUGGGAAUUUUGACCAGGGGACCUGUGAAAUCAGGGGAUCCAAGCCGUAGGCUUGCCAUCCAGCACAGAUCUUACUUUCUAGAUGAUGCUACUGCCAUCCAAGGUGACAUUUUGCUUUGGUAAGUAGCCCUGGGUAGACAUUCUAGUCUAGAGGAGCAGAACACCAACAGAAGCAGCAAUUCUUCACAGUGGGAAGGCUGGAAAAGCCCUUGGAAUCGUCAUUCUUCCCUCCUUCCAUUUUAGAGAUUGGAAAGGAAAGCUCGGGCUGGGG